UACGUAGGUGGCGAGCGUUGUCCGGAAUUACUGGGUGUAAAGCGCGUGUAGGCGGGAGGCCAAGUCUGUGGUGAAAUCGCUCGGCUUAACUGGGCGGGGUCCAUGGAAACUGGUCACCUGGAGGUCGGUAGAGGCAAGUGGAAUUCCUGGUGUAGCGGUGAAAUGCGCAGAUAUCAGGAGGAACACCGGUGGCGAAGGCGGGUCUCUGGGCCGAUACUGACGCUGAGGAGCGAAAGCGUGGGGAGCGAACAGG
rnacentral:rRNA from 1 species